rnacentral:rRNA from 1 species
GACGAACGCUGGCGGCAUGCUUAACACAUGCAAGUCGAACGGAUAAGGGCUGCUUUUUUCUGGUUUCAGCGGGGGAAGGGGGAGUGAUACCUGUGAAUAAGCCUGCCAUUACUUUGGGAUGACUUGAAGCAACUGGGGAUACUACCUGCUAGCUGAUCCUGCAGGUUGGUGGGGGUCGGAAAGCUUCGGCGGAUGGGGAUGGACGCCCGGCUUAUCAGCUUGUUGGUGGGGGGGUGGCUUACCAAGUCUUUGACGGGUAGCCGGCCUGAGAGGGUGACCGGCCACAUUGGGACUGAGAUACGGCCCAGACUCCUACGGGAGGCAGCAGUGGGGAAUAUGGCACAAUGGGCGGAAGCCUGAUGCAGCAACGCCGCGUGCGGGAUGACGGCCUUCGGGUUGGAAACCGCUUUCGCCUGUGACGAAGCGUGAGUGACGGUAAUGGGUAAAGAAGCACCGGCUAACUACGUG